GGGGGCGAUUUGGUUUCGACGAUGAUUAAGCAUUUAAGAGUAGCAUGUCGAGAGCUAACUCGUUAAACUGGCAAAAGCACUAUAAGUGCCGAACCAAUCAAUCAACUUGCUGCCUAAAUAGUGCAGCAACAUUAGCUACUUUUUUCUCAUAGGAUUUAGCUAAUGCAAACAAUAUGAGACUAGAAAAGAAGUUGGCUUCUUGAGCUUUUCUAGUAUUNAAGAAGAUCGAAAUAUUCUCUUUUUUUCAGCUUUGGGAAUGUUUUUAAAAAAUAAAGCUAAAAUAAGCGUGUAGAAGCCCUUAUUUAGCUAAUUUUCGGACCUGGGUUCGAUUCCCAGCGCCUCCACAA
rnacentral:tmRNA from 9 species